CCUCGGUUGUAAACCACUUUUGGCAGAAAAUCGCUGUUAAUACCAUGGGCGGAUGACGGUACUGCAAAUAAGCACCGGCUAACUACGUGCCAGCAGCCGCGGUAAUACGUAGGGUGCGAGCGUUAAUCGGGGGNAAAAAANCAAANUUUUUCUUAACUGGGCGUAAAGCGUGCGCAGGCGGUUUUGUAAGACAGAUGUGAAAUCCCCGGGCUUAACCUGGGAACUGCAUUUGUGACUGCAAGACUAGAGUGUGUCAGAGGGAGGUGGAAUUCCGCGUGUAGCAGUGAAAUGCGUAGAGAUGCGGAAGAACACCGAUGGCGAAGGCAGCCUCCUGGGAUAACACUGACGCUCAGGCACGAAAGCGUGGGGAGCAAACAGGAUUAGAUACCCUGGUAGUCCACGCCCUAAACGAUGUCAACUAGUUGUUGGGGAUUCAUUUCCCUUAGNUNNAACGUAAAGACCGUAAANCGCCGUGAAGUUGACCGCCUGGGGAGUACGGCCGCAAGGUUAAAACUCAAAGGAA
rnacentral:rRNA from 1 species